ACCGGCGUGGUCUAGUGGCUAGGAUACCUGACUUUCACCCAGGAGGCCCGGGUUCGAUUCCCGGCGUCGGAG
rnacentral:tRNA from 1 species